rnacentral:rRNA from 1 species
GAUGAACGCUGGCGGCGUGCUUAACACAUGCAAGUCGAACGGAAAGGCCCAAGCUUGCUUGGGUACUCGAGUGGCGAACGGGUGAGUAACACGUGGGUGAUCUGCCCUGCACUUCGGGAUAAGCCUGGGAAACUGGGUCUAAUACCGAAUAGGACCACAUUUUGGAUGGUGUGGUGGAAAGUUUUUCGGUGUGGGAUGAGCUCGCGGCCUAUCAGCUUGUUGGUGGGGUAAUGGCCUACCAAGGCGUCGACGGGUAGCCGGCCUGAGAGGGUGUACGGCCACAUUGGGACUGAGAUACGGCCCAGACUCCUACGGGAGGCAGCAGUGGGGAAUAUUGCACAAUGGGCGCAAGCCUGAUGCAGCGACGCCGCGUGGGGGAUGACGGCCUUCGGGUUGUAAACUCCUUUCGCUAGGGACGAAGCGCAAGUGACGGUACCUGGAGAAGAAGCACCGGCUAACUACGUG